rnacentral:hammerhead_ribozyme from 1 species
AUCCAGUUGUUGAAUCCUAAAUAAGACGAAACGCGUGUCCUGGAU